UACGUAGGGGGCAAGCGUUGUCCGGAUUUAUUGGGCGUAAAGAGCGUGUAGGCGGCCAGGCAGGUCCGCUGUGAAAACUCGAGGCUCAACCUCGAGAGGUCGGUGGAAACCGUUUGGCUAGAGUCCGGAAGAGGAGAGUGGAAUUCCCGGUGUAGCGGUGAAAUGCGCAGAUAUCGGGAAGAACACCCGUGGCGAAGGCGGCACUCUGGGACGGUACUGACGCUGAGACGCGAAAGCGUGGGGAGCGAACAGG
rnacentral:rRNA from 1 species